rnacentral:rRNA from 1 species
GAUGAACGCUAGCUACAGGCUUAACACAUGCAAGUCGAGGGGCAGCACAGUGUAGCAAUACAUGGGUGGCGACCGGCGCACGGGUGCGUAACGCGUAUCCAACCUUCCCGUUACUCAGGGAUAGCCUUCCGAAAGGGAGAUUAAUACCUGAUGGUGUUGAAAUUCCGCAUGUUAUUUGGUGAAUCUUGCGCAGGAUGGGGAUGCGUUGGAUUAGCUUGCUGGUGAGGUAACGGCUCACCAGGGCUCCGAUCCAUAGGGGGUUCUGAGAGGAAGGUCCCCCCACACUGGAACUGAGACACGGUCCAGACUCCUACGGGAGGCAGCAGUGAGGAAUAUUGGUCAAUGGUCGGAAGACUGAACCAGCCAAGUAGCGUGAAGGAUGAAGGUUCUAUGGAUUGUAAACUUCUUUUAUACGGGAUAAAACCNCCUACGUGUAGUGCUUGUAUGUACCGUAUGAAUAAGCAUCGGCUAACUCCGUG